rnacentral:rRNA from 1 species
UACGAAGGGGGCUAGCGUUGCUCGGAAUCACUGGGCGUAAAGGGUGCGUAGGCGGGUUUUUAAGUCAGGGGUGAAAUCCUGGAGCUCAACUCCAGAACUGCCUUUGAUACUGAAGAUCUUGAGUUCGGGAGAGGUGAGUGGAACUGCGAGUGUAGAGGUGAAAUUCGUAGAUAUUGGGAAGAACACCGGUGGCGAAGGCGGCUCACUGGCUCGUAACUGACGCUCAUGCACGACAGCGUGGGGAUCAAACAGG